GACGAACGCUGGCGGCGUGCUUAACACAUGCAAGUCGAACGGAAAGGCCCCUUUGGGGGUACUCGAGUGGCGAACGGGUGAGUAACACGUGAGUAACCUGCCCUUGACUUCGGGAUAACUUCAGGAAACUGGGGCUAAUACCGGCUAGGAAUCCUUGCUGCAUGGUGGGGGUUGGAAAGCUUCGGCGGUUUUGGAUGGACUCGCGGCCUAUCAGCUUGUUGGUGGGGUAGUGGCUUACCAAGGCUUUGACGGGUAGCCGGCCUGAGAGGGCGACCGGCCACAGUGGGACUGAGAUACGGCCCAGGCUCCUACGGGAGGCAGCAGUGGGGAAGAUUGCACAAUGGGCGGAAGCCUGAUGCAGCAACGCCGCGUGCGGGAGGACGGCCUUCGGGUUGUAAACCGCUUUCAGCAGGGGCGAAGCUUGUGGUGACGGUACCUGCAGAAGAAGCACCGGCUAACUACGUG
rnacentral:rRNA from 1 species